rnacentral:sRNA from 17 species
CCCACUGGCCUUGGAAUCAAAUUCAAAAUGCAAAUGAUAAUGGUUGCAUUGAUGUUGUUGUUGUUGAGUAGUAGUA